rnacentral:rRNA from 1 species
AACGCUAGCUACAGGCUUAACACAUGCAAGUCGAGGGGCAGCAUGAAGUUUGCUUGCAAACUUUGAUGGCGACCGGCGCACGGGUGAGUAACACGUAUCCAACCUGCCGAUAACUCGGGGAUAGCCUUUCGAAAGAAAGAUUAAUACCCGAUGGCAUGGAAAGUCCGCAUGGUCUUUCCAUUAAAGAACUUCGGUUAUCGAUGGGGAUGCGUUCCAUUAGAUAGUAGGCGGGGUAACGGCCCACCUAGUCAACGAUGGAUAGGGGUUCUGAGAGGAAGGUCCCCCACAUUGGAACUGAGACACGGUCCAAACUCCUACGGGAGGCAGCAGUGAGGAAUAUUGGUCAAUGGACGAGAGUCUGAACCAGCCAAGUAGCGUGAAGGAUGACUGCCCUAUGGGUUGUAAACUUCUUUUAUACGGGAAUAAAGUGUUCCACGUGUGGAAUUUUGUAUGUACCGUAUGAAUAAGGAUCGGCUAACUCCGUGCCAGCAGCCGCGGUAAUACGGAGGAUCCGAGCGUUAUCCGGAUUUAUUGGGUUUAAAGGGAGCGUAGGUGGAAGAUUAAGUCAGCCUGUGAAAGUUUGCGGCUCAACCGUAAAAUUGCAGUUGAUACUGGUUUUCUUGAGUGCAGUAGAGGUGGGCGGAAUUCGUGGUGUAGCGGUGAAAUGCUUAGAUAUCACGAAGAACUCCGAUUG